GACGAACGCUGGCGGCGUGCUUAACACAUGCAAGUCGAACGGAAAGGCCCUGCUUUUGUGGGGUGCUCGAGUGGCGAACGGGUGAGUAACACGUGAGUAACCUGCCCUUGACUUUGGGAUAACUUCAGGAAACUGGGGCUAAUACCGGAUAGGAGCUCCUGCUGCAUGGUGGGGGUUGGAAAGUUUCGGCGGUUGGGGAUGGACUCGCGGCUUAUCAGCUUGUUGGUGGGGUAGUGGCUUACCAAGGCUUUGACGGGUAGCCGGCCUGAGAGGGUGACUGGCCACCUUGGGACUGAGAUACGGCCCAGACUCCUACGGGAGGCAGCAGUGGGGAAUAUUGCACAAUGGGCGGAAGCCUGAUGCAGCAACGCCGCGUGCGGGAUGACGGCCUUCGGGUUGUAAACCGCUUUCGCCUGUGACGAAGCGUGAGUGACGGUAAUGGGUAAAGAAGCACCGGCUAACUACGUG
rnacentral:rRNA from 1 species